AAUAAAAAUGAAACAAAACGUCCUACAGUUGGCCAUCCACCUCAGGGGACAAAAUGGAAGACCGACCCAACCACAUCUGGGCAUUGGACCGCCACAGGGUCACAGACAGUCUUUGAAAAAGAUGGAUUAUUAUUAUUAUUAUUAUUAUUAUUAUUAUUAUUAUUAUUAUUAUUUCAAGGUGUUAUUUGUAGUUCAAGAGUAUUAUCAAGUGCUUAUCCAAGACAUGAAGGUGUUCCAACGUUAGUUACUUCUACUUCUAAUCAAUCCAUGAUCAAUGAAAGAAGGCUAUCAGCUCCUUUAUCAUGGAGUGAUUUUCAAUCACAACUAGCAAACAAUGGAAGCUAUUCACAUCAACGGUAAUGUGCAUACAAUAUACAGCAUGUAUGUACAUGUACAUAUGUACAUGUACUUUUACAAUAGUGGGAAUUAGUAGGUCAAUUUUAGCUACAGUGAAACCUUUAAUUUGAUAUAGGAAUGUCUUACUACCUCAGAUAUUAUAUUCUCUUCCUGCUAGCUAG